rnacentral:rRNA from 1 species
ACACUCCUGCGGGAGGCAGCAGUGGGGAAUUUUGGACAAUGGGCGAAAGCCUGAUCCAGCCAUGCCGCGUGCAGGAUGAAGGCCUUCGGGUUGUAAACUGCUCUUGUACGGAACGAAACGGCCUUUUCUAAUAAAGAGGGCUAAUGACGGUACCGUAAGAAUAAGCACCGGCUAACUACGUGCCAGCAGCCGCGGUAAUACGUAGGGUGCAAGCGUUAAUCGGAAUUACUGGGCGUAAAGCGUGCGCAGGCGGUUAGGUAAGUCAGUUGUGAAAUCCCCGGGCUCAACCUGAGAACUGCAUCUGUGACUGCAUAGCUAGAGUACGGUAGAGGGGGAUGGAAUUCCGCGUGUAGCAGUGAAAUGCGUAGAUAUGCGGAGGAACACCGAUGGCGAAGGCAAUCCCCUGGACCUGUACUGACGCUCAUGCACGAAAGCGUGGGGAGCAAACAGGAUUAGAAACCCCUGUAGUCCCAUG